ACAGCAGCCGCCACGGGAAUACGGAGGGUGCAAGCGUUAAUCGGAAUUACUGGGCGUAAAGCGCACGCAGGCGGUCUGACAAGUCAGAUGUGAAAUCCCCGGGCUUAACCUGGGAACUGCAUUUGAAACUGUCAGGCUGGAGUCUUGUAGAGGGGGGUAGAAUUCCAGGUGUAGCGGUGAAAUGCGUAGAGAUCUGGAGGAAUACCGGUGGCGAAGGCGGCCCCCUGGACAAAGACUGACGCUCAGGUGCGAAAGCGUGGGGAGCAAACAGGAUUUGAUACCCCAGUAGUCCCUGUCUCUUAUAC
rnacentral:rRNA from 1 species